rnacentral:rRNA from 1 species
AUUGAACGCUGGCGGCAGGCCUAACACAUGCAAGUCGAGCGGCGCGGCGGACGGGUGAGAACUGCCUAGGAAUCUGCCUGGUAGUGGGGGAUAACGUCCGGAACCGGGCGCUAAUACCGCAUACUAUCACAUGAGCCGAGGGCGGAUUAGCUAGAUUGUGGGGUAAUGGCCUACCAAGCCGACGAUCCGUAACUGGUCUGAGAGGAUGAUCAGUCACACUGGAACUGAGACACGGUCCAGACUCGUACGGGAGGCAGCAGUGGGGAAGAUUGGACAAUGGGCGAAAGCCUGAUCCAGCCAUGCCGCGUGUGUGAAGAAGGUCUUCGGAUUGUAAAGCACUUUAAGUUGGGAGGCGUGACCAACAGAAUAAGCACCGGCUAACUUCGUGCCAGCCGCCGCGGUAAUAC